rnacentral:rRNA from 1 species
ACUAAAGCUAGCCCAACUAAAGACAUAACAGUUCAAAUACUAUAUAUUCAUAAAACAAAACAUUUACCCAAAAAAGUAUAGGAGAUAGAAAUUUUAAUAGGCGCUAUAGAGAAAGUACCGCAAGGGAACGAGUGAAAGAAUUAAUUAAAAGUACAAAAUAGCAAAGUUUACCCCUUUUACCUUUUGCAUAAUGAAUUAACUAGAAAAUCUUAGCAAAGAGAACUUAAGUUAAGCACCCCGAAACCAGACGAGCUACUUAUGAGCAGCAUGAAGGAGCGCACUCGUCUAUGUGGCAAAAUAGUGAGAAGACUUAUAAGUAGAGGUGAAAAGCCUAACGAGCCUGGUGAUAGCUGGUUGUCCAGGAAAGAAUUUUAGUUCAACUUUAAUUUAUACAGAAAACCUUAAAAAUUUUAAUGUAAAAUUAAAUGUUAAUCUAAAGAGGUACAGCCCUUUAGAUAUAGGAUACAACCUUAAUUGGAGAGUAAGCAUAAAAUAACAACCAUAGUUGGCCUAAAAGCAGCCAUCAAUUAAGAAAGCGUUCAAGCUCAACCAUCAAACCCAUGUUAAUUCCAAAAAUUAAUCUAACUCCCAAUUUUUCAACUGGACUAAUCUAUCAUAUAAUAGAAGAAAUAAUGUUAAUAUGAGUAACAAGAAAUAAUUCUCCCAGCACAAGCCUAUAUCAGAUCGGAUGCCCACUGAUAGUUAACAAAACAAUAAAAACAUCUACAAAUAAAAUAAUUAUUACUUUAACUGUUAACCCAACACAGGAGUGCUAUACCAGGGAAAGAUUAAAAGAAGUAAAAGGAACUCGGCAAACACAAACCCCGCCUGUUUACCAAAAACAUCACCUCUAGCAUGAAAAGUAUUAGAGGCACUGCCUGCCCAGUGACGCAAGUUAAACGGCCGCGGUAUCCUGACCGUGCAAAGGUAGCAUAAUCAUUUGUUCCUUAAUUAGGGACUUGUAUGAAUGGCCACACGAGGGUUUAACUGUCUCUUACUUCCAAUCAGUGAAAUUGACUUUCCCGUGAAGAGGCGGGAAUACAAAAAUAAGACGAGAAGACCCUAUGGAGCUUUAAUUAACCGACUCAAUAUAAUCAAUUAUACUAAUCCGACAGGAGAUAAAAUAGUACAAAACUGAGUCGACAAUUUAGGUUGGGGUGACCUCGGAGCAUAAAAAAACCUCCGAGUGAUUUUAGCCAAGACCUACAAGUCAAAGCCUGAAAAAAUUCACAAUUGAUCCAAUAAAUCCAUUUGAUCAACGGAACAAGUUACCCUAGGGAUAACAGCGCAAUCCUAUUUAAGAGUCCAUAUCGACAAUAGGGUUUACGACCUCGAUGUUGGAUCAGGACAUCCAAAUGGUGCAACCGCUAUUAAUGGUUCGUUUGUUCAACGAUUAAAGUCCUACGUGAUCUGAGUUCAGACCGGAGCAAUCCAGGUCGGUUUCUAUCUAUUUUAUAUUUCUCCCAGUACGAAAGGACAAGAGAAAUGAGGCCAACUCCAUAAGAGAGCCUUACAAAUCAAUAGAUGAUAUCAUCUUAAUCUAGUGAUUUAUUCAUACUUCAAGCCCAAGAAAAGGGCUUC